rnacentral:rRNA from 1 species
CUUAGUUGCCAGCAUUCAGUUGGGCACUCUAAGGUGACUGCCGGUGACAAACCGGAGGAAGGUGGGGAUGACGUCAAAUCAUCAUGCCCCUUAUGACCUGGGCUACACACGUGCUACAAUGGAUGGAACAAAGGGGAGCGAAGCCGCGAGGUGAAGCAAAUCCCAUAAAACCAUUCUCAGUUCGGAUUGCAGGCUGCAACUCGCCUGCAUGAAGCCGGAAUCGCUAGUAAUCGUGGAUCAGCAUGCCACGGUGAAUACGUUCCCGGGUCUUGUACACACCGCCCGUCACACCACGAGAGUUGGUAACACCCGAAGUCGGUGAGGUAACCUUUUGGAGCCAGCCGCCGAAGGUGGGACUAAUGAUUGGGGUGAAGUCGUAACAAGGUAGCCGUAUCGGAAGGUGCGGCUGGAUCACCUCCUUU